rnacentral:rRNA from 1 species
AGUGAACGCUGGCGGUAGGCCUAACACAUGCAAGUCGAACGGCAGCACAGUAAGAGCUUGCUCUUACGGGUGGCGAGUGGCGGACGGGUGAGGAAUACAUCGGAAUCUACUUUUUCGUGGGGGAUAACGUAGGGAAACUUACGCUAAUACCGCAUACGACCUACGGGUGAAAGCAGGGGAUCUUCGGACCUUGCGCGAUUGAAUGAGCCGAUGUCGGAUUAGCUAGUUGGCGGGGUAAAGGCCCACCAAGGCGACGAUCCGUAGCUGGUCUGAGAGGAUGAUCAGCCACACUGGAACUGGGACACGGUCCAGACUCCUACGGGAGGCAGCAGUGGGGAAUAUUGGACAAUAGGCGCAAGCCUGAUCCAGCCAUAGCGCGUGGGUGAAGGAGGCCCUCGGGUUGUGAAGCCCUUUUGUUGGGAGAGAAAAGCAGCAGGUUAAUACCCCGCUGUUCUGACGGUACCCAAAGAAUAAGCACCGGCUAACUUCGUG